UCUUCCGAUCUUAAGCGUGUAGGUGUGUGUUCCAGGUAAAUCCGGUUCACUUUAACACUGAGGCGUGAUGACGAGGCACUACGGUGCUGAAGCAACAAAUGCCCUGCUUCCAGGAAAAGCCUCUAAGCAUCAGGUAACAUCAAAUCGUACCCCAAACCGACACAGGUGGUCAGGUAGAGAAUACCAAGGCGCUUGAGAGAACUCGGGUGAAGGAACUAGGCAAAAUGGUGCCGUAACUUCGGGAGAAGGCACGCUGACACGUAGGUGAAGUGAUUUACUCAUGGAGCUGAAGUCAGUCGAAGAUACCAGCUGGCUGCAACUGUUUAUUAAAAACACAGCACUGUGCAAACACGAAAGUGGACGUAUACGGUGUGACGCCUGCCCGGUGCCGGAAGGUUAAUUGAUGGGGUCAGCGCAAGCGAAGCUCCUGAUCGAAGCCCCGGUAAACGGCGGCCGUAACUAUAACGGUCCUAAGGUAGCGAAAUUCCUUGUCGGGUAAGUUCCGACCUGCACGAAUGGCGUAAUGAUGGCCAGGCUGUCUCCACCCGAGACUCAGUGAAAUUGAACUCGCUGUGAAGAUGCAGUGUACCCGCGGCAAGACGGAAAGACCCCGUGAACCUUUACUAUAGCUUGACACUGAACAUUGAGCCUUGAUGUGUAGGAUAGGUGGGAGGCUUUGAAGUGUGGACGCCAGUCUGCAUGGAGCCGACCUUGAAAUACCACCCUUUAAUGUUUGAUGUUCUAACGUGGACCCGUGAUCCGGGUUGCGGACAGUGUCUGGUGGGUAGUUUGACUGGGGCGGUCUCCUCCUAAAGAGUAACGGAGGAGCACGAAGGUUGGCUAAUCCUGGUCGGACAUCAGGAGGUUAGUGCAAUGGCAUAAGCCAGCUUGACUGCGAGCGUGACGGCGCGAGCAGGUGCGAAAGCAGGUCAUAGUGAUCCGGUGGUUCUGAAUGGAAGGGCCAUCGCUCAACGGAUAAAAGGUACUCCGGGGAUAACAGGCUGAUACCGCCCAAGAGUUCAUAUCGACGGCGGUGUUUGGCACCUCGAUGUCGGCUCAUCACAUCCUGGGGCUGAAGUAGGUCCCAAGGGUAUGGCUGUUCGCCAUUUAAAGUGGUACGCGAGCUGGGUUUAGAACGUCGUGAGACAGUUCGGUCCCUAUCUGCCGUGGGCGCUGGAGAACUGAGGGGGGCUGCUCCUAGUACGAGAGGACCGGAGUGGACGCAUCACUGGUGUUCGGGUUGUCAUGCCAAUGGCACUGCCCGGUAGCUAAAUGCGGAAGAGAUAAGUGCUGAAAGCAUCUAAGCACGAAACUUGCCCCGAGAUGAGUUCUCCCUGAGACUUAGAGUCUCCUGAAGGAACGUUGAAGACGACGACGUUGAUAGGCCGGGUGUGUAAGCGCAGCGAUGCGUUGAGCUAACCGGUACUAAUGAACCGUGAGGCUUAACCUU
rnacentral:rRNA from 1 species